rnacentral:rRNA from 1 species
GACGAACGCUGGCGGCGUGCUUAACACAUGCAAGUCGAACGGAAAGGCCCUGCUUUUGUGGGGUGCUCGAGUGGCGAACGGGUGAGUAACACGUGAGUAGCCUGCCCUUGACUUUGGGAUAACUUCAGGAAACUGGGGCUAAUACCGGAUAGGAGCUCCUGCUGCAUGGUGGGGGUUGGAAAGUUUCGGCGGUUGGGGAUGGACUCGCGGCUUAUCAGCUUGUUGGUGGGGUAGUGGCUUACCAAGGCUUUGACGGGUAGCCGGCCUGAGAGGGUGACCGGCCACAUUGGGACUGAGAUACGGCCCAGACUCCUACGGGAGGCAGCAGUGGGGAAUAUUGCACAAUGGGCGGAAGCCUGAUGCAGCAACGCCGCGUGCGGGAUGACGGCCUUCGGGUUGUAAACCGCUUUCGCCUGUGACGAAGCGUGAGUGACGGUAAUGGGUAAAGAAGCACCGGCUAACUACGUGCCAGCAGCCGCGGUGAUACGUAGGGUGCGAGCGUUGUCCGGAUUUAUUGGGCGUAAAGGGCUCGUAGGUGGUUGAUCGCGUCGGAAGUGUAAUCUUGGGGCUUAACCCUGAGCGUGCUUUCGAUACGGGUUGACUUGAGGAAGGUAGGGGAGAAUGGAAUUCCUGGUGGAGCGGUGGAAUGCGCAGAUAUCAGGAGGAACACCAGUGGCGAAGGCGGUUCUCUGGGCCUUUCCUGACGCUGAGGAGCGAAAGCGUGGGGAGCGAACAGGCUUAGAUACCCUGGUAGUCCACGCUGUAAACGGUGGGUACUAGGCGUGGGGUCCAUUCCACGGGUUCCGUGCCGUAGCUAACGCUUUAAGUACCCCGCCUGGGGAGUACGGCCGCAAGGCUAAAACUCAAAGGAAUUGACGGGGCCCCGCACAAGCGGCGGAGCAUGCGGAUUAAUUCGAUGCAACGCGUAGAGCCUUACCUGGGUUUGACAUGGAUCGGGAGUGCUCAGAGAUGGGUGUGCCUCUUUUGGGGUCGGUUCACAGGUGGUGCAUGCCUGUCGUCAGCUCGUGUCGUGAGAUGUUGGGUUAAGUCCCGCAACGAGCGCAACCCUUGUUCACUGUUGCCAGCACGUUAUGGUGGGGACUCAGUGGAGACCGCCGGGGUCAACUCGGAGGAAGGUGGGGAUGACGUCAAGUCAUCAUGCCCCUUAUGUCCAGGGCUUCACGCAUGCUACAAUGGCUGGUACAGAGAGUGGCGAGCCUGUGAGGGUGAGCGAGUCUCGGAAAGCCGGUCUCAGUUCGGAUUGGGGUCUGCAACUCGACCUCAUGAAGUCGGAGUCGCUAGUAAUCGCAGAUCAGCAACGCUGCGGUGAAUACGUUCCCGGGGCU